AAUAGAUACCCGGGUAGUCCACGCCGUAAACGAUGAGUGCUAGGUGUUAGGGGGGUCCAACCCCUUAGUGCUGAAGUUAACACAUUAAGCACUCCGCCUGGGGAGUACGACCGCAAGGUUGAAACUCAAAGGAAUUGACGGGGGCCCGCACAAGCAGUGGAGCAUGUGGUUUAAUUCGAAGCAACGCGAAGAACCUUACCAGGUCUUGACAUCCUCUGACAACCCUAGAGAUAGGGCGUUCCCCUUCGGGGGACAGAGUGACAGGUGGUGCAUGGUUGUCGUCAGCUCGUGUCGUGAGAUGUUGGGUUAAGUCCCGCAACGAGCGCAACCCUUGAUGUUAGUUGCCAGCAUUCAGUUGGGCACUCUAACGUGACUGCCGGUGACAAACCGGAGGAAGGUGGGGAUGACGUCAAAUCAUCAUGCCCCUUAUGACCUGGGCUACACACGUGCUACAAUGGGCGGUACAAAGGGCAGCGAAACCGCGAGGUGGAGCCAAUCCCAUAAAGCCGCUCUCAGUUCGGAUUGCAGG
rnacentral:rRNA from 1 species